AGUGAACGCUGGCGGCAGGCCUAACACAUGCAAGUCGAACGAGUGGCGGACGGGUGAGUAAUGUCUGGGAAACUGCCUUAUGGAGGGGGAUAACGACGGGAAACGGUCGCUAAUACCGCAUACCAUCAGAUGUGCCCAUGUGGGAUUAGCUUGUUGGUGGGGUAACGGCUCACCAAGGCGACGAUCCCUAGCUGGUCUGAGAGGAUGACCAGCCACACUGGAACUGAGACACGGUCCAGACUCCUACGGGAGGCAGCAGUGGGGAAUAUUGGACAAUGGGCGCAAGCCUGAUGCAGCCAUGCCGCGUGUAUGAAGAAGGCCUUCGGGUUGUAAAGUACUUUCAGCGGGGAGGCGUUACCCGCAGAAGAAGCACCGGCUAACUCCGUGCCAGCCGCCGCGGUAAUUC
rnacentral:rRNA from 1 species